rnacentral:rRNA from 1 species
UACGUAGGUGGCAAGCGUUGUCCGGAAUUACUGGGUGUAAAGGGAGCGCAGGCGGGAAGCCAAGUCAGCUGUGAAAACUACGGGCUUAACUUGUAGACUGCAGUUGAAACUGGUUUUCUUGAGUGAAGUAGAGGCAGGCGGAAUUCCUAGUGUAGCGGUGAAAUGCGUAGAUAUUAGGAGGAACACCAGUGGCGAAGGCGGCCUGCUGGGCUUUUACUGACGCUGAGGCUCGAAAGUGUGGGGAGCAAACAGG